ensembl:lincRNA
CUUUAUGACGGAGAUCAUCGAUGAAGAGAAGCCAUACACGACCAAGAGGGACAGCUUGAUUUGCUGAUAUGCAUAUACCCUGAGACAUUCAUCACAGUCAAGCCAGAUGCUAUUUCCAUCAUCCCACAUUGUUUACGUUUAUGUGUGGGUUGUGGAUCCUGUCCGAUGGCCACAUUCGCCCCUCGCAGCUCAAGUGCCUCCCGGGAAGCUGGCUGCCCUGCGAUUCCAGGGAAGUCAAAGGCAUCUACUGGUCGUCUUCGUGGUCAGCACGGACACAGGCCACCUUUUGAAGGACUCUUGGCAUGGACCUGCCUGUUCUUCUAAGAAAUCUUCAGAGCCCUGGUCUCCGCCCCUGUGCUGCGAAAAGUGUAUUUGAAAAGUGCAGGGUGAAUGGGUGUGGGAGAAACCAGCUGUGCAGAGCACACUUGGGCAGAACAAGAGAAAAAGAAGAUAAAAACAAAAAUAAAAGUACACGCUGUAUCUGAGAAACAGAGCAUGGGCUACGGCGGCAAGUCGAGACAGCAAGCUCCCUGUGGCUCUGGUCUUCUUCUAUGCCAUGCGCAUCUGGAGGGAGUCUGCGAGAAGUUCUACAUUCUGCUGAGAAUUAUGGGCGCGGUCCUGGAAGCUUGUAGGUGACAGGUCCCGCUUACUUUCCCAGCCAGUUUUGCCACUCCCCAUCUGCUGUGUCAGAGGCAGGAGGAUCACCCGAGCCCACAAGUUCAAGAGCAACUCGAAUAAAGUGAGAAUCCAGAAAGACAGACUCUAUCUCAAAAUUAGAAAAAUAAAACAAAAAGGACUGGGGAAGUUGCUCUGUGUGGAUGUCCGGGGUUCAGUCCCCGGUACUGGAAAGAAAACAAGAAAGAAAGAUAUACAAACAAUGUACGGCUAAAAAGUUUGAGGUACAGUGAGGCCAACAGAUCAAGAGACUAUUGCGUUUGGAAAGACUGAUACCCAGAGUCCCCGGGGGGAAGCAACGCUCCUUGAAUGAGGCCCAGGGAAGCACCAGGGCUGGUGGGUGGCACAGGGGGAGGGCAGAGCCUGUGACUCUGUAGGGAAGAGACUUUCCUGUGGGUCCCCUGGGAAGAAGCCAAUGAGGCAGGAUGAGUAGUACAGGAUUAGCUAGUCUGAGCCACUUCCGUGGGCUCUGGUGGCCGAGUUCCUGACCCUGGGAUAAUGAGGGGAGGUGGAUAAUGUUCCAGAGUGUAGGGACCGAUAAAGGAAGUGGCUGGAGGGCAAGCCCUGGACUGCUUCCUCUGUGUUUGUAGAGGGCACUCCCUGAUGAUUCAGUACUCCAGCAGCUGGCUGAGCCUGGGCUGGGCAGUGAGCAGGACCCCGGUCCGAGCGGAAGUAAAAGCGUGCUUAGUGGAUUCACUCAUGAAGAGCGUAGCAAACCAACUAGGAGACCAGGCUUUUACGAAUAAUAUUACAAAGCAAAACCAGCAAAUCAACAGGGAAGCUGGGCACGGUGCUGCAUGCCCAUAAUCCCAGCACUCUGGGAGACUGAGGCAGGAGGAUUGUAAAUUCAAACCUAGUUUAGGAGACUUAGCAUGAACAUAUCUCAAAAUACAAAAUAAUAAAGGGCUGGGGAUAUAGUUCAGUAUGAAGUUCCUGGGUUUAAUCCCUAGUACCUCAAAAAAGGAAGAAAGAGGGCUGGGAAUUUAGCUCAGUGGUUCCACUGCAUCCUUGCAAAUGCAAGGUCCCAUAUUUGAUCCCCAGUUUAAAAAAAAAAAGGAAGAAAGAAAAAAGAACAGGAAAUAAGGCUGAUCUUUCAUGAUGCCACCACAAGUAUUUUAACUAAAAACUAUAACUGACCAUGCAUAACCUUCAAGGAAGGAAUCAUUCUGGAUUGCCAAGCUCUCAGCACAGUGACUACUUGGGCAUUCAUUUUAUUACCUCCAUUUUAUUUAUGUAUGUAUGUAUGUAUUUAUUUAUGACCUUUUUUUAACCUUCAUUUUAUUUUUUAAAAAAAGGCUCAGGUAUACCUUCCUUGUUUUGCUGUAUUCAUUGAAAAAUAUUUCUGGAGCCGGGUGUGGUGGCACAUGCCUAUAAUCGCAGCACUUGGGAGGCUGAGGCAGGAGGAUCACUAUGAGUUCGAGACCAGCCUGGGCUACAUAGUGAGCUCCAGGUCAGUCUCAGCGACACAGUGAGACCCUGUCUCAAAAAAAAUUUUUUUUUCUGAGUGUUUCUGUGCUUGGUACUUUUCUGCAAUGAUAAAGUCACAGCAAGGACCACAAGGUAGUCUCCUCUGUCAUACAGUUUAU